UACGGGGGGGGCAAGCGUUGUUCGGAAUUACUGGGCGUAAAGGGCUCGUAGGUGGCCAACUAAGUCAGACGUGAAAUCCCUCAGCUUAACUGGGGAACUGCGUCUGAUACUGGAUGGCUUGAGAUUGGGAGAGGUAUGCGGAAUUCCAGGUGUAGCGGUGAAAUGCGUAGAUAUCUGGAGGAACACCGGUGGCGAAGGCGGCAUCCUGGACCAACACUGACACUGAGGAGCGAAAGCCAGGGGAGCAAACGGG
rnacentral:rRNA from 1 species